GAUGAACGCUAGCGGCAGGCUUAAUACAUGCAAGUCGAGGGGCAGCAGGGUGUAGCAAUACAUCGCUGGCGACCGGCAAACGGGUGCGGAACACGUACACAACUUUCCUUUAAGUGGGGAAUAGCCCGGGGAAAGCCCGGAUUAAGUACCCGCGAUACAUUAUUGAGAGGCAUCACUUGAUAAUUAUAGCUCCGGCGCUUAAAGAUGGGUGUGCGGCUGAUUAGGUAGUUGGCGGGGUAACGGCCCACCAAGCCUACGAUCAGUAACUGGUGUGAGAGCACGACCAGUCACACGGGCACUGAGACACGGGCCCGACUCCUACGGGAGGCAGCAGUAAGGAAUAUUGGUCAAUGGACGCAAGUCUGAACCAGCCAUGCCGCGUGGAGGAUGAAGGUCCUCUGGAUUGUAAACUUCUUUUUAUCUGGGAAGAAAUCCAUAUUUUCUAAUGUGGUUGACGGUACCAGAUGAAUAAGCACCGGCUAACUCCGUGCCAGCAGCCGCGGUAAUACGGAGGGUGCAAGCGUUAUCCGGAUUCACUGGGUUUAAAGGGUGCGUAGGCGGCAAGUAAGUCAGUGGUGAAAUCUCUGGGCUUAACUCAGAAACUGCCGUUGAUACUAUUUGUCUUGAAUAUCAUGGAGGUAAGCGGAAUAUGUCAUGUAGCGGUGAAAUGCUUAGAUAUGACAUAGAACACCGAUAGCGAAGGCAGCUUACUACAUGUUAAUUGACGCUGAGGCACGAAAA
rnacentral:rRNA from 1 species